CCCGGGGUAGCUCAGUUGGCAGAGCGUCUGACUGUAGACAGAUAUUAGGUAGUCGGCGGUUCGAUUGCGUCCUACGGGA